CAGUAGCCGCGGGAAUACGUAGGGUGCGAGCGUUAAUCGGAAUUACUGGGCGUAAAGCGUGCGCAGGCGGUUGUGUAAGACAGGUGUGAAAUCCCCGGGCGUAACCUGGGAACUGCGCUUGUGACUGCACAGCUAGAGUAUGGCAGAGGGGGGUGGAAUUCCACGUGUAGCAGUGAAAUGCGUAGAGAUGUGGAGGAACACCGAUGGCGAAGGCAGCCCCCUGGGCCAAUACUGACGCUCAUGCACGAAAGCGUGGGGAGCAAACAGGAUUAGAUACCCGAGUAGUCCCUGUCUCUUAUAC
rnacentral:rRNA from 1 species